CAAAAGUGAAACUUAGUGCCUCAGACAAGCAGGGGCAAGACUGCUAAGGAAGCUGUGGCCAGAAGCACAGAUCAGUCCAGGUCCCCGGCUGAGACUCUCCCCUAAAAGUCAUAGUUGGGCUGAUGCUCCCCACCUUGGAGGGUGCUCCCUCUGUGUGCUUCCUGACAUUCCUGGGUUCUGGAACUGGGAGAACUGAACUAAAGGAUGACAGGAGCAAUCUGGAAUUUUGUUCACAGCGCUUUGAUGAACUUUCUAAACACGAUGGCUCUGCUAACAGCCGAAACAUUCAGCUUACAGUUUAACAACAAGCGCCGUGUCAGCAAGCCUUACUACCGGAGGAAGGCCCUCUUGUGUUACCAGCUGACGCCGCAGAAUGGCUCCACGCCUACCAGAGGCUACUUAAAAAACAAGAAAAAGCACCAUGCAGAAAUUCGCUUUAUUAACAAGAUCGAGUCUAUGGGACUGGACAAAACCCAGUGCUACCAAGUCACCUGUUACCUCACGUGGAGCCCCUGCCCCUCCUGUGCCCGGGAGCUGGUUGACUUCAUCAAGGCUCACGACCAUCUGAACCUGCGCAUCUUCGCCUCCCGCCUGUACUACCACUGGCUCCCGCACUAUCAGGAGGGGCUGCUGCUUCUGUGUGGAUCCCAGGUCCCGGUGAAGGUCAUGGGCCUCCCAGGUAGGAAAGAGGCUUUGCAGUUCCAAGAGGGCAAACCCCCGGGGGCUCAGGAUUGGCGGGGGGAGGGGGAGGGGGCGGGCGGGGGAGGUGGGAGGGUGGGGGGGUCGGGAUCUGUGGGAAGCCAGGAAGGAAGGAUUGUGGCUCGGUGGAGGCCCAAGAUCCCACACCACCCAGGAGGGAGAAUUCCCCGGACAGAGCAAUGUCCAGGGAGAGGAAGGGAAGAGAGGGGAAAGGAAGCAAGAGUUCCUGGCGCUGCAGCUGCUGCCCCUGGGGCCUGUCUGGUUUCCCUCUUCGAUCUCAGAGUUUACUGACUGCUGGGAAAACUUUGUGGACCACAACGAACCGCUUUCCUUCAACCCCUCUGAGAAGUUAGAGGAGCUAGAUAAAAACAGCCGAGCCAUAAAGCGACAGCUUGAAAGGAUAAAGCAGUCCCGGAGUGUGGAUGUUUUAGAGAAUGGCUUAAGAAGUUUGCAGCUUGGACCCGUAACCCCCUCAUCGUCAAGACGCAACUCAAGAUGACUUUCCCUGGGGCAUGUCAGUUGCCUCAUAGCCUGCUGGUCCUGUGGGCAAGCACCAAGCUCCACAGUGCCAGUUCCUUGCCCCAAACCUGGCCCCAUCCAAGUACAGAAGACCUUUCUUUCCUCCUUUUUCCAUAUUGCUUUUCUGUUCUAAGUGGGUUAAUAAUUUUAUAAUUGAAAAAAUAAAGAUUAUUUUAAAGUCUGUAAAUCCGGCCAGAUACGGUGGCUCAUGCCUGUAAUCCUAGCACUUUGGGAGGCUGAGGUGCUCAGCCAAUAAAUUUCUAUUGUUUAUGAA